UACGGGGGGGGCAAGCGUUGUUCGGAAUUACUGGGCGUAAAGGGCUCGUAGGCGGCCAACUAAGUCAGACGUGAAAUCCCUCGGCUUAACCGGGGAACUGCGUCUGAUACUGGAUGGCUUGAGUUUGGGAGAGGGAUGCGGAAUUCCAGGUGUAGCGGUGAAAUGCGUAGAUAUCUGGAGGAACACCGGUGGCGAAGGCGGCAUCCUGGGCCAACACUGACGCUGAGGAGCGAAAGCCAGGGGAGCAAACGGG
rnacentral:rRNA from 1 species